rnacentral:rRNA from 1 species
AGAGUUUGAUCAUGGCUCAGGACGAACGCUGGCGGCGUGCCUAAUACAUGCAAGUCGAGCGAAUCUUUGGGAGCUUGCUCCCGAAGGUUAGCGGCGGACGGGUGAGUAACACGUGGGCAACCUGCCUAUAAGACUGGGAUAACUUCGGGAAACCGGAGCUAAUACCGGAUAAUUCUUUUCUACACAUGUAGAAAAGCUAAAAGACGGUUUACGCUGUCACUUAUAGAUGGGCCCGCGGCGCAUUAGCUAGUUGGUGAGGUAACGGCUCACCAAGGCCACGAUGCGUAGCCGACCUGAGAGGGUGAUCGGCCACACUGGGACUGAGACACGGCCCAGACUCCUACGGGAGGCAGCAGUAGGGAAUCUUCCGCAAUGGACGAAAGUCUGACGGAGCAACGCCGCGUGAGUGAUGAAGGUUUUCGGAUCGUAAAACUCUGUUGUUAGGGAAGAACAAGUACGAGAGUAACUGCUCGUACCUUGACGGUACCUAACCAGAAAGCCACGGCUAACUACGUGCCAGCAGCCGCGGUAAUACGUAGGUGGCAAGCGUUGUCCGGAAUUAUUGGGCGUAAAGCGCGCGCAGGCGGUCCUUUAAGUCUGAUGUGAAAGCCCACGGCUCAACCGUGGAGGGUCAUUGGAAACUGGGGGACUUGAGUGCAGGAGAGAAGAGGAAUUCCACGUGUAGCGGUGAAAUGCGUAGAGAUGUGGAGGAACACCAGUGGCGAAGGCGACUCUUUGGCCUGUAACUGACGCUGAGGCGCGAAAGCGUGGGGAGCAAACAGGAUUAGAUACCCUAGUAGUCC